UAGCAUGAGAAACGGCUACCACAUCUAAGGAAGGCAGCAGGCGCGUAAAUUACCCAAUCCUGACUCAGGGAGGUAGUGACAAGAAAUAGCAAACCGGGAACCUCAUGGUUUCACGGUAUUGCAAUGAGAACAAUUUAAAACCCUUAGCGAGAAUCAAGUGGAGGACAAGUCUGGUGCCAGCACCCGCGGUAAUUCCAGCUCCACUAGCGUAUAUUAAAGUUGUUGCAGUUAAAAAGCUCGUAGUUGAACCUCUGUCUGGGGCUAGUUUUGGCUUUGGUCAGGCUAGUUCUAGGCAUCCGCCUACAAGACUUAGAGGGCAUUCAGUUGUUCACUAGGAGGAGUAGGCAUUUUACUUUGAAAAAAUUAGAGUGUUUAAGGCAGGCAAUCGCCCGCAUAUAUUAGCAUGGAAUAAUAGAAUAGGACACUUUUCCAUUUCGUUGGUUAUUGGAAUCGUGUAAUGAUUAAUAGGGACAGUUGUGGGCAUUUGUAUUUAAUUGUCAGAGGUGAAAUUCUUGGAUUUAUUAAAGACAAACUAACGCGAAAGCAUUUGCCAAGGAUGUUUUCAUUAAUCAAGAACGAAAGUUAGGGGAUCAAAGACGAUCAGAUACCGUCCUAGUCUUAACCAUAAACUAUUCCGACUCAAUGUUUGACUGGCUUAUAUAACCAGUUGAGCGUUGUAUGAGAAAUCAAAGUCUUUAGGUUCUGGGGGGAGUAUGGUUGCAAAGCUGAAACUUAAAGGAAUUGACGGAAGAGCACAACCAGGAGUGGAUUCUGCGGCUUAAUUUGACUCAACACGGGGAAACUUACCAGGUUAAAACAAUAGUGGGAUUGACAGUUUGAGAGCGCUUUCUUGAUUGGUUGGGUGGUGGUGCAUGGCCGUUCUUAGUUGGUGGAGUGAUUUGUCUGCUUAAUUGCGUUAACGAACGAGACCUUAACCUGCUUACUAGACUGGCGAUCAUCAAUCGUUAGCUCUUCUUAGAGGGACUUUGGUUGUUUUAACUCCAAGGAAGUUUGAGGCAAUAACAGGUCUGUGAUGCCUUUAGAUAUCCUGGCCGCACGCGUCAUACAAUGACUAGUUCAGAAAGUUUUCUCCUGACCCGAAAGGGGAUGGGUAAUCUUGAUAAUACUAGUCGUGUUAGGGAUCGAUCUUUGCAAUUAUAGAUCUUGAACGAGGAAUUCCUAGUAAGUGCGGUUCAUCAGACCGUACUGAUUACGUCCCUGCUCUUUGUACACACCGCCCGUCGCUUCUACCGAGUGGGUGGUCCGGUGAGAUAAUUGAACUUCGCAGGUAACUGAGAGGAAAGAUUAUCAAACCUAUCCACCUCGAGGAAGAAGAAGUCGUAACAAGGUU
rnacentral:rRNA from 1 species